UCAAACCCAGGGUUGCACUUGCCCUAUAAUGUGACCAUAGUUGAGCAGCAUAGAGCUGUUAGACCUUUAAGAGGUGAGCAGAAGAGUGCUGCUUCAUGCACUGAAAAAUUGACCAGGAGUGAGAAAAGCCAUACCUGUUAAAAUUCUGCCUUGUAUACAAGUAGGCAAAAUCCUGUCCUCUUUUUCAUUUGGUCACCAAAUCCCCGGAUCAUUCUCAGUGUUAGCAUCUAUCCACAGGUACCUCUAUUGCUAAAACCACAGCUUGCUGGAAAGGUGUGCAGGUGUUAGAAGGUGCUACCACCCUGCCUUUGAGAUGGUGGCUGAGAAGGAAGAGGUUGUGAAGAAACCCCCAAAGCAGGAGUCGAGAUUCUUGGCUGAACCUGAAGAGCCCAGAUGCCAGUUGAGGCCGCAGGUGAGGAGCUGGAGAAGAUGGUUCAUACGGUGAUAUAGCACAAUACGGUGAUGUCUGCCCAAGAGAAGGCCUUCUCAAACAAGUUUGCUAUGCUAGAAGAGGAUGUUGCCUGCACAAUUUCUCUCUGGUCUGUGGCAACAAAGAUGCGUCUACAGGCACUGGAGAAUGAUGUGAAGUUCAUGAAGUGGAUUAGUGGAAUGUAAACAAUGGGGUGAGCAACAUUUAAAGGAUCAAGAUUGUAGUACAACAUCUAUAGGAGGACCAAAGUUGUGCAUCCCUUGUUUUCCAGUAUAGUUGGAAAAAUUUUAAA